CCGUGCUAGACGGGGAGGUAGCGGUGCCCUGUUGCCCGCAAUCCGCUGUAGCGGGGUUGAAUCCCUGUUAGAGGUACUGUCGAUGUGAGGUCUGGCCUUUACACGUGGUGUUGAGAGUCGGGUCCUUCGCAAUGAGCACCAGUGAACCCGGUCAGGUCCGGAAGGAAGCAGCCGUAAGCAGGACCGCCCAUGUGCCGAGGGGUUGCCUAACUUGAGCUAACGAUAAAGGUACGUUCGUAUCGCUUUAUCAAUAACAGGUGCACGG
rfam:Paenibacillus sp. HGF7 contig00055, whole genome shotgun sequence.